rnacentral:rRNA from 1 species
UACGUAGGGGGCUAGCGUUAUCCGGAAUUACUGGGCGUAAAGGGUGCGUAGGUGGUUUCUUAAGUCAGAGGUGAAAGGCUACGGCUCAACCGUAGUAAGCCUUUGAAACUGAGAAACUUGAGUGCAGGAGAGGAGAGUAGAAUUCCUAGUGUAGCGGUGAAAUGCGUAGAUAUUAGGAGGAAUACCAGUUGCGAAGGCGGCUCUCUGGACUGUAACUGACACUGAGGCACGAAAGCGUGGGGAGCAAACAGGAUUAGAUACCCGGGUAGUCCCUGAGCGGG